AUUGAACGCUGGCGGCAUGCCUUACACAUGCAAGUCGAACGGCAGCACGGGAGCAAUCCUGGUGGCGAGUGGCGAACGGGUGAGUAAUAUAUCGGAACGUGCCCAGUCGUGGGGAUAACGUAGCGAAAGCUACGCUAAUACCGCAUACGAUCUAUGGAUGAAAGCGGGGGAUCGCAAGACCUCGCGCGAUUGGAGCGGCCGAUAUCAGAUUAGGUAGUUGGUGAGGUAAAGGCUCACCCAAGCCGACGAUCUGUAGCUGGUCUGAGAGGACGACCAGCCACACUGGGACUGAGACACGGCCCAGACUCCUACGGGAGGCAGCAGUGGGGAAUUUUUGGACAAUGGGCGCAAGCCUGAUCCAGCAAUGCCGCGUGCAGGAUGAAGG
rnacentral:rRNA from 1 species